ACUCCUACGGGAGGCAGCAGUGGGGAAUAUUGGGCAAUGGGGGCAACCCUGACCCAGCGACGCCGCGUGGGUGAAGAAAUCCCUCGGGAUGUAAAGCCCUGUUGUAUGGGAAGAGCAGAAGACGGUACCAUACGAGGAAGCCCCGGCAAACUACGUGCCAGCAGCCGCGGUAAU
rnacentral:rRNA from 1 species